rnacentral:rRNA from 1 species
UACGUAGGGUGCGAGCGUUAAUCGGAAUUACUGGGCGUAAAGCGUGCGCAGGCGGCCGCGCAAGUCGAGUGUGAAAGCCCCGGGCUUAACUUGGGAAUUGCGCUCGAAACUACGUGGCUGGAGUGUGGCAGAGGAAGGUGGAAUUCCACGUGUAGCGGUGAAAUGCGUAGAGAUGUGGAGGAACACCAAUGGCGAAGGCAGCCUUCUGGGCCAACACUGACGCUCAUGCACGAAAGCGUGGGGAGCAAACAGG